CCUUAUGUUUCUUUAAAGAAUAAAAAAAUACCCAAUAUUGCAAAAAUAAAGUUAAAAGAUAUCUAGUUUCUAUAAAAGAAGAUAAAAGAUAUACAAAAUUCGUAAGAAACGUGAUUGAAAAAAACGUGUCAAGAGAGAAAUAAAGAUAAAAGAAAAGAUUACAAACUCAUUCUGUUUCGUGGAAAAUGCAAGGCACCAAACAUGACAUGAAAAGCUUCUGAAGCUAAAUUGUUUGAAAGAUUUCAUCGACGACGUCAAACACAAAUAUAAUUCCAUUUCAAUCGAUGAUUACCAUUGCUUCAACACACGCGAUACUUUUCAUAGAAAGAAGAUGCGAAGAAUUUAACUCUGAAGGUCGAACAUUUUUCUUCCUUGAAAACUACGUAUUUCUUGUCUCACGACUCGUAUAAUUUUAAUAACUGUUCAUUAUUACCUUCGAAGCGUCCUGUUCAUUUGAGUGUUUUCAUUCUUGAUCAGAAGUUUCGUGUUUGAUCUCCGAUAAACGUCACUAGCGGCAUGAAUCACUAGUGAACACAGGUGAGUAUCCAGGCUUGAUUACCAAUCUAGUUUAACGCCGACGGGGAAUAGCGGUUCUUAAUUAGCACCGUCUCAGGAUAUCAAAUUAAGCCUUACUAACUAGAUAUUCUCCGAAAUAAUUUUCUAACUUUCCUGGAAAUAUCAAAAUACUGUCAUUUAUAAAUAUAAAAAUUCUAUCUUGCAGUGAAUAUUGAAUAAGCAAUGGAUAUACCAAACACCACAAAAUAUCACAAUAUACAUUCUUCUCUGUUCUAUCCAAUUACACUCAUAGAUCGAAAAAUGGCAGAAAAAUUCUAGUUUUUAAUUCACGCGAAUCAAUGCGUAGACACGGCACGGUCUAAACGUGACAUCAACGUCACAAUAAGGCGCGAUGAGUUGGCGUUCAGGAAUCCGGGAGAGAUAGAACAGGACUUUCUAGGAGGACGAGGGAGAAACGAAAGCAUCCCCCCAGCCCUUCGUGUUUUAUCUACUAGUAUCUUGGAAUGUCGAUGGUCCAUAUGCAGCCAGUUAAAAACGUACAACAAAAAAGAGGAGAAAACAUAUCAGGACAUGAAAAGAGAAGAACAAUGCGACUAGUAUUUUAAAAGAAUCAAAAGAAAGGAAGUUAGAAAGUAGAGAAGAAUGGAAUUGGAUCGAAAUGCAGACGAAUCAAACCGCACCCAUGGAACGAACAAUAAGCAACGAGAUGGAGAAGGGACACAUUCCUUUCGUACGCGUGGAAACGCAUCGUGAAUGCUCAUCGGAUGAACUCCGAUUCGUUUUGCCUGUAGAAAAUACUGGCACGAUGCGUUCGUUCAAGUAUAAAUUCGUAUUCGUUCGCACUAAUUUGUGCCGCUAAUGAACUCAGCGAGAAAAGCGACCGUUUCUUUUCACGAUUUCUCCUGACAAUCAUGUGCGUCUGUGGUGGAGAACUUUGUGCAAUAUGUACAUCAGUUGUAAUUAUUGCUGUUACAAUUAGCAACAUUUUUUGAUUUACCAUUUUUAUGAAACGAAAUUACCUAAAAGUAUAGUAGAACUCCAUUUACCGCAAAGAUAAGAUGUGUAAAUUGGGAUAGAUCAUAUACAUAAUAAGAGUUCACUGAUUCCCCCAACCACUUGUGAUUUUUCGUUCAUAUAGUGGAGGUUCAUAUUGUCCUCCAAUAUGUUCAUAUAAACGAAGUUUUACUAUAUCAUGAAAUACUUAUUUGAUUAUUCAAUAUUUGGGUAUUAAUGUCCAAAUGUAUAGGAAGCAUUGUUACACUGAAGCAUUAUUUAGAGAAUUGCAUUUAUGUACAGCUACGAGAAGCCAACGCAAUGUGCAAUCGGGUCAAGUUGUAAUACAUUUCAAUCACAUUUCGUAUAUCACAGGAAACUAAAUAAAAUUAACAUAUUGAGGUUAAUAUUCAUGUUACGUAAGUAUAGCAUAAUUAAUUGUAGAAAUUGAGUACAGAGGCUAAAUGCAUUACAGUAGAGGUAAGUACAAUGGAAAAACGAUGAACUUUUUUAUAAUUAAAUUCAGCUUCCGAUAGAUAGAGUUCGCGUUAAUUGUCGAUAGUAAUGUAUUACAUUAAUCUAGAACAUUUAGAAACAUACUCUGUUAAA